rnacentral:rRNA from 1 species
GGUUAAGUUAUUAAGGGCACACGGUGGAUGCCUUGGCAGUCGAACCGAAGAAGGACGUGGCUACCCGCGAAAGGCCUCGACGAGCUGGAAGCAAGCUAAGACUCGGGGGUAUCCGAAUGGGGAAACCCACUAGAGCGAACCUCUAGUACCCUACAGUGAAUUCAUAGCUGUAGUGGAGGGAACCCAGGGAACUGAAACAUCUAAGUACCUGGAGGAAAAGGAAGAAAACUCGAUUCCCUUAGUAGCGGCGAGCGAAACGGGAACAGCCCAAACCGGGGCCUACGGGCCCCGGGGUUGUAGGACCAGCACCAUGGACUUGAAUGUCUAGCCGAAGCGCACUGGAAAGGCGCACCAGAGUGGGUGAGAGUCCCGUAGGCGAAAGGCACGAGAGCCUAGCUGGCACCUGAGUAACUCAGGUCACGUGAAACCCUGAGUGAAGCAGCGGGGACCACCCCGCAAGGCUAAAUAUUCCGACUGACCGAUAGUGAACCAGUACCGUGAGGGAAAGGUGAAAAGAACCCCGUGAGGGGAGUGAAAUAGUCCCUGAAACCGUGUGCUUACAAGCAGUCACAGCCCUAUAGGGGCAUUAUCUAUUCUAUAGAUGAUACCUCUAGGGUAGUGGCGUGCCUCUUGAAGCAUGAUCCUGCGACUUACUGGGUGUACCGAGUUUAAGCCGAUAGGCGGAGGCGAAGCGAAAGCGAGUCUUAACAGGGCGUCUAGGUGCACUUAGCAGACCCGAAACCAGAUGAGCUAGGCAUGGCCAGGAUGAAGCUCUUGUAAAAGGGAGUGGAGGUCCGAACCCGUUGACGUUGAAAAGUCUUGGGAUGAGCUGUGUUUAGGAGUGAAAAGCUAACCGAAUCUGGAGAUAGCUGGUUCUCCCCGAAAUAGCUUUAGGGCUAGCCUCGGAGGUUCAGCACUGGUUGUAAAGCACUGAUUGGGCUAGGGGGCUUACCAGCUUACCAACCCCUGUCAAACUCUGAAGGCCAGUGUUCCAUACUCCGGGAGUCAGUCUGCGUGAGCUAACUUUCGCAGACGAGAGGGAAACAACCCAGAGCGCCGGUUAAGGUCCCCAAGUAACAGCUAAGUGGUGAAGGAUGUAAAGACGCUAAGACAGCUAGGAGGUUGGCUUAGAAGCAGCCAUUCCUUUAAAGAGUGCGUAAUAGCUCACUAGUCGAGUGUCUUCGCGCCGAAGAUGAUCGGGGCUAAGCUGUUCACCGAAACCGCGCCAAUCCCCCCGCCCUAACGGGCACCCCCUUAACAAGGGGGCAGGGGGGGAUUGGGUAGGGGAGCGUUCCGUAGGCCGUUGAAGCAUGACCGGAAGGACAUGUGGAGGUAUCGGAAGUGCGAAUGCAGGAAUGAGUAACGAUAAACAGGGUGAGAAUCCCUGUCGCCGAAAGCCUAAGGGUUCCUGGGGAAGGGUCGUCCUCCCAGGGUUAGGCGGGACCUAAGGCGAGGCCGAAAGGCGUAGUCGAUGGACAGCGGGUCAAUAUUCCCGCCCCACUUGUGUGGAGUGAUGGGGUACGCAUUAGGAUAGGCCAACCGGAGCUAUGGCUAUGCCCGGCGGGUAAUGAAGCUGGUCGGGACAGGAAAAUCCGCCCGACAAGACAGUGACAUUAUUCGGGAAGCCCCUUUGGGGUGAUAACUGGUUGACUCCACGGUGCCAAGAAAAGCCUCUAAACGUUUGAAGCACGAGUGCCCGUACCAAAACCGACACAGGUAGGCGAGUGUAAAAGCACUAAGGCGCGCGAGAGAACUCUCUCUAAGGAACUCUGCAAAAUAGCCCCGUAACUUCGGGAGAAGGGGUCCCGCACUAUCGUGACACUACGGUGAAAGCGAGAAGCGGGCACAGUAAAUUGGCUCUAGCGACUGUUUACCACAAUCACAGCUCUCUGCCAACCCGAAUAGGGGACGUAUAGGGAGUGACACCUGCCCGGUGCCGGAAGGUCAAGGGGAGCGGUUAACGCUGCGAACUGAAGCCCCGGUGAACGGCGGCGGUAACUAUAACCGUCCUAAGGUAGCGAAAUUCCUUGUCAGGUAAGUUCUGACCUGCACGAAUGGUGUAACGACUGGAGCGCUGUCUCGGAGAGAG